AGGUCAAUGUCAGCUGAAGACUGCAGUGUGCAAUGGCAUCCCCUGGAACAAGGGCUGCAAGAAUGUCAGCUGCUUGUGCUGUCUGCCUGCAACUGUGACCCAAUGCAUCAGCAAGCCUUGGUGCACGACACUUGGCGGCACCUGCCAAAGUGCCUCCACCAGCUGUACCAACAUGGUGGCAGUGAGCAAGGGCUGCCGUACUGCCUCCUGCUUCUGCUGCGUUCCUAAAAUAAUAACAGGCUCAGGCUGCUUGGACAACGGAGAGUGCUACUCCAGGUAUGGAGGUUACUGCUUCACGAAGGGCGUUCACUCAUGCAAAGGCAUCCAGUGGGACGGUGGCUGCUCUGGCACGACGUGUUCUUGCUGCGUCUUGGGGGAGUCGACGUGCGUGACCAAACAGCUCUGUAAGAACAAUGGUGGGACUUGUGUCAGCCCGGCGGCCUGCACCAAGCCCAACAGGAACCCCAACUGGUGUCUGGGUACGGGCUGUACAUGUUGUUAUUAAGGAAGACGGUCACAUGGAAUACGGACGGACGAUACGUGUGUGUGCGUGUGUAAUAUGUAAAGCAAGAAAGAAGGAAGCCCUCAUGUAACACUAGAAGACGCAACCGUGACACAGAUAAGGGAUACCAG